AGUGAACGCUGGCGGCAGGCCUAACACAUGCAAGUCGAGCGGCAGCGCGUCCGACCACCCUCGGGUGGUCGGAUGGCGGCGAGCGGCGGACGGGUGAGGAAUGCAUCGGAAUCUGCCUCGUUGUGGGGGAUAACGUAUGGAAACGUACGCUAAUACCGCAUGCGCCCUAAGGGGGAAAGCCGGGGACCGCAAGGCCUGGCGCGAUUGGAUGAGCCCAUGUUCGAUUAGCUAGUUGGCGGGGUAAAGGCCCACCAAGGCGACGAUCGAUAGCUGGUCUGAGAGGAUGAUCAGCCACACUGGAACUGAGACACGGUCCAGACUCCUACGGGAGGCAGCAGUAGGGAAUAUUGGACAAUGGGGCGAACCCUGAUCCAGCCAUGCCGCGUGAGUGAAG
rnacentral:rRNA from 1 species